UACGUAGGGCGCAAGCAUUGUCCGGAAUUAUUGGGCGUAAAGAGCUCGUAGGCGGCUUGUCACGUCGGGUGUGAAAGCCCGGGGCUUAACCCCGGGUCUGCAUUCGAUACGGGCAGGCUAGAGUUCGGUAGGGGAGAUCGGAAUUCCUGGUGUAGCGGUGAAAUGCGCAGAUAUCAGGAGGAACACCGGUGGCGAAGGCGGGUCUCUGGGCCGUAACUGACGCUGAGGAGCGAAAGCAUGGGGGAGCGAACAGG
rnacentral:rRNA from 1 species